rnacentral:tRNA from 1 species
GGUUGUGGCUCAGAGGUAGAGUGCUUGCCUUGCAUGUGCGAGGCCCUGGGUUCGAUCCUCAGCACCA